UGAGUGGGUGAUCACUGGCUUUGUAGA
rnacentral:piRNA from 1 species